rnacentral:lncRNA from 1 species
CUUGAAAGUUCGGGUGGUCAUAUGGAUUUAAAUACUGUCACUAUAAUUGACCUCAACAACAAACUUCGACAGUUCUAUGCAGAGGCAAAACCUAGAUACUCAGACAAAAAGAGCACAAUCUAUGCCCAGAGAACAUGCUGGUGCGUACUACAAGAAUUCGUUGAAACACGUGAGAGCUGCUCUAAACAGGCACUUGACUGGCAUAAACAGAGAUAUUGACAUUGUAAAAGACAAUGAAUUUAGACAAUUUUGGAUAGUACACUCAAAAUGAUGGUUGCAAUUGGACUUUCACAACCAACAAAACACAAGGAUAUAAUAGACCUUGAAGACUCUGGUUGAUAAGUACAUAUAUUUUCAGCGACAUUGAAGAUGUUGUUCUCCUAAUAUUAAAAGUAUGGUAUUGUCUGAUCAUUCAUUUUGUAUCUAGGGGUUUAGAGUUCCACCACCAGCUGAAUUUAUACUCUUUCGACUUCAAAUUAGAUGAAGAUGGUGAUGAGUAAGUCAUGGUUAAUCAUGAACCCAAACACACAUUUAGGGUGGUGUGUCAAGUGAAGAAGCCCCUUCGGAUAAGUUUGUGUAUUCUAAUGUGGCUGAACAGAGAUUUUGUCCACUUUCUGCAUUUAAAGAACUCAUAGCAAAACUCCUUUCCAAUCUCAUUGUAAAAAACUUGGAUGUCAGCAGGUUGGGGGGCAAGCGUAUGGUUUACAACACAAACAUUAACUAAGCGUACAUACAGC